GAUGAACGCUGGCGGCGUGCCUAAUACAUGCAAGUCGAGCGAACAGAUGAGGAGCUUGCUCCUCUGACGUUAGCGGCGGACGGGUGAGUAACACGUGGAUAACCUACCUAUAAGACUGGGAUAACUUCGGGAAACCGGAGCUAAUACCGGAUAAUAUAUUGAACCGCAUGGUUCAAUAGUGAAAGACGGUUUUGCUGUCACUUAUAGAUGGAUCCGCGCCGCAUUAGCUAGUUGGUAAGGUAACGGCUUACCAAGGCAACGAUGCGUAGCCGACCUGAGAGGGGGACCGCCAACCCUGGAACUGAGCAACGUUCAAGACCCCAAGGGGAGCAGGAAGUAGGAAAUUUUCCGAAAGGGCGGAAAGCCUGACGAGGAACCGCGGGGGGAGUAAUGAAGGCUUCGGAUUGUAAAACCUCUGUAAUAGGGAAAAACAAAAUGUGUAAGUAACAAUGACGGUUUGGAGGUUACCUAACAAGAAGGCAAGGGUUAACAACGU
rnacentral:rRNA from 1 species